rnacentral:rRNA from 1 species
GACGAACGCUGGCGGCGUGCCUAAUACAUGCAAGUAGAACGCACAGUUUAUACCGUAGCUUGCUACACCAUAGACUGUGAGUUGCGAACGGGUGAGUAACGCGUAGGUAACCUGCCUGGUAGCGGGGGAUAACUAUUGGAAACGAUAGCUAAUACCGCAUAAUAUUAAUUAUUGCAUGAUAAUUAAUUGAAAGGUGCAAUUGCACCACUACCAGAUGGACCUGCGUUGUAUUAGCUAGUAGGUGAGGUAACGGCUCACCUAGGCGACGAUACAUAGCCGACCUGGGAGGGUGAUCGGCCACACUGGGACUGAGACACGGCCCAGACUCCUACGGGAGGCAGCAGUAGGGAAUCUUCGGCAAUGGACGAAAGUCUGAACGAGCAACGCCGCGUGAGUGAAGAAGGUUUUCGGAUCGGAAAGAUCUGUUGUAAGAGAAGAACGGGUGUGAGAGUGGAAAGUUCACACUGUGACGGUAUCUUACCAGAAAGGGACGGCUAACUACGUG